AUUGAACGCUGGCGGCAUGCUUUACACAUGCAAGUCGAACGGUAACAGGCCUUCGGGUGCUGACGAGUGGCGAACGGGUGAGUAAUGCAUCGGAACAUACCCAGUCGUGGGGGAUAACGUAGCGAAAGUUACGCUAAUACCGCAUACGUCCUGAGGGAGAAAGCGGGGGAUCGCAAGACCUCGCGCGAUUGGAGUGGCCGAUGUCAGAUUAGCUAGUUGGUGGGGUAAAGGCCCACCAAGGCGACGAUCUGUAGCGGGUCUGAGAGGAUGAUCCGCCACACUGGGACUGAGACACGGCCCAGACUCCUACGGGAGGCAGCCGUGGGGAAUUUUGGACAAUGGGGGCAACCCUGAUCCAGCCAUGCCGCGUGCGGGAAGAAGGCCUUCGGGUUGUAAACCGCUUUCGGACAGAAAGAAAUCGCAUGGGCUAAUACCCUGUGUGGAUGACGGUACUGUAAGAAGAAGCACCGGCUAACUACGUGCCAGCAGCCGCCGUAA
rnacentral:rRNA from 1 species